GAUGAACGCUGGCGGCGUGCCUAAUACAUGCAAGUCGAGCGAACAGACGAGGAGCUUGCUCCUCUGACGUUUGCGGCGGACGGGUGGGUAACACGUGGAUAACCUACCUAUAAGACUGGGAUAACUUCGGGAAACCGGAGCUAAUACCGGAUAAUAUAUUGAACCGCAUGGUUCAAUAGUGAAAGACGGUUUUGCUGUCACUUAUAGAUGGAUCCGCGCCACAUUAGCUAGUUGGUAAGGUAACGGCUUACCAAGGCAACGAUGCGUAGCCGACCUGAGAGGGUGAUCGGCCACACUGGAACUGAGACACGGUCCAGACUCCUACGGGAGGCAGCAGUAGGGAAUCUUCCGCAAUGGGCGAAAGCUUGACGGAGCAACGCCGCGUGAGUGAUGAAGGUCUUCGGAUCGUAAAACUCUGUUAUUAGGGAAGAACAAAUGUGUAAGUAACUAUGCACGUCUUGACGGUACCUAAUCAGAAAGCCACGGCUAACUACGUG
rnacentral:rRNA from 1 species